rnacentral:rRNA from 1 species
UUCUUUAUCACCGAGUGCUUGCACUCACCGAUAAAGAGUUUAGUGGCGAACGGGUGAGUAACACGUGGGCAACCUGCCCAAAAGAGGGGGAUAACACUUGGAAACAGGUGCUAAUACCGCAUAACCAUAGUUACCGCAUGGUAACUAUGUAAAAGGUGGCUAUACUACCGCUUUUGGAUGGGCCCGCGGCGCAUUAGCUAGUUGGUAGGGUAAAGGCUUACCAAGGCAAUGAUGCGUAGCCGAAUUGAGAGGUUGAUCGGCCACAUUGGGACUGAGACACGGCCCAAACUCCUACGGGAGGCAGCAGUAGGGAAUCUUCCACAAUGGGCGAAAGCCUGAUGGAGCAACGCCGCGUGGGUGAAGAAGGUCUUCGGAUCGUAAAACCCUGUUGUUGGAGAAGAAAGUGCGUGAGAGUAACUGUUCACGUUUCGACGGUAUCUAACCAGAAAGCCACGGCUAACUACGUGCCAGCAGCCGCGGUAAUACGUAGGUGGCAAGCGUUAUCCGGAUUUAUUGGGCGUAAAGGGAACGCAGGCGGUCUUUUAAGUCUGAUGUGAAAGCCUUCGGCUUAACCGGAGUAGUGCAUUGGAAACUGGGAGACUUGAGUGCAGAAGAGGAGAGUGGAACUCCAUGUGUAGCGGUGAAAUGCGUAGAUAUAUGGAAGAACACCAGUGGCGAAAGCGGCUCUCUGGUCUGUAACUGACGCUGAGGUUCGAAAGCGUGGGUAGCAA